rnacentral:rRNA from 1 species
AUACGGAGGAUGCGAGCGUUAUCCGGAUUUAUUGGGUUUAAAGGGAGCGUAGGUGGGAUAUUAAGUCAGCUGUGAAAGUUUGGGGCUCAACCUUAAAAUUGCAGUUGAUACUGGUUUCCUUGAGUACGGUACAGGUGGGCGGAAUUCGUGGUGUAGCGGUGAAAUGCUUAGAUAUCACGAAGAACUCCGAUCGCGAAGGCAGCACACCGAGCCGGAACUGACACUGAUGCUCGAAAGUGCGGGUAUCAAACAGGAUUAGAUACCCUGGUAGUCCGCACAGUAAACGAUGAAUACUCGCUGUUUGCGAUACACGGUAAGCGGCCAAGCGAAAGCAUUAAGUAUUCCACCUGGGGAGUACGCCGGCAACGGUGAAACUCAAAGGAAUUGACGGGG